ACACCUCAACUCUCAUGGUCUUCCAUGAUGAGCUUGGACUUUGGGGGUUUGCUGGCCUUGUGGCCGGCUCCUCUCAAAUGAAUCAGCUUGCCAGUGUUUGGCGGCGUCACGGGUGUGAUAACUAUCUACGCUCGCGGUUGUCCGUCAGGUAACCCUCAGCGAUGAAGGUUCAUUGGGGCUCAUAAACGUCUCUCCCCAGCGAGGACAACUUUUGAAC
rnacentral:misc_RNA from 2 species